rnacentral:rRNA from 2 species
GAUUCGUCACACUAUCAUUAACUGAAUCCAUAGGUUAAUGAGGCGAACCGGGGGAACUGAAACAUCUAAGUACCCCGAGGAAAAGAAAUCAACCGAGAUUCCCCCAGUAGCGGCGAGCGAACGGGGAGGAGCCCAGAGCCUGAAUCAGCAUGUGUGUUAGUGGAAGCGUCUGGAAAGGCGCGCGAUACAGGGUGACAGCCCCGUACACAAAAGCGCAUGUGCUGUGAGCUCGAUGAGUAGGGCGGGACACGUGGUAUCCUGUCUGAAUAUGGGGGGACCAUCCUCCAAGGCUAAAUACUCCUGACUGACCGAUAGUGAACCAGUACCGUGAGGGAAAGGCGAAAAGAACCCCGGCGAGGGGAGUGAAAAAGAACCUGAAACCGUGUACGUACAAGCAGUGGGAGCACAGGUUUACCUGUGUGACUGCGUACCUUUUGUAUAAUGGGUCAGCGACUUAUAUUCUGUAGCAAGGUUAACCGAAUAGGGGAGC